rnacentral:rRNA from 1 species
AUUGAACGCUGGCGGCAGGCCUAACACAUGCAAGUCGAACGAGUGGCGGACGGGUGAGUAAUGUCUGGGAAACUGCCCGAUGGAGGGGGAUAACUACUGGAAACGGUAGCUAAUACCGCAUACCAUCGGAUGUGCCCAGAUGGGAUUAGCUAGUAGGGGGGGUAACGGCUCACCUAGGCGACGAUCCCUAGCUGGUCUGAGAGGAUGACCAGCCACGCUGGAAGUGAGACACGGCCCAGACUCCUAGGGGGGGCAGCAGGGGGGAAUAUUGCACAAGGGGCGAAAGCCUGAUGCAUCCGUGCCGCGUGUAUGAAGAGGGCCUUCGGUUUGUAAAGUACUUUCAGCGAGGAGACGUUACUCGCAGAAGAAGCACCGGCUAACUACGUGCCAGCCGCCGCGGUAAUA